UUGUAUCCAAGAAAUUUUCUUGGUGUAUCGGCAUCAAUAAGCACCUACUGACCAUGGGAAAAUCGGGUCGAGGCAUUACCAUGCUUUCACCUAAGGACCAUUGAUAGAGAACAUGGGUUUUGUUUCAGAACCCUUCCUUACUCAAUUCUUUACAAACAUGCAUAGUUUUUUUAUUUAGGUGUUCAUUAUGAUGGAAUGCAGAUAAAGCCCCUAAUCUACAUCACAUGUUCAAACAAAUAGAGCAUGCUUAUUCAAUUAUUACCCAUCAAUCAUUCGUCCGUAUGUACAAAUAUUAACAUUAUUUUUCUAAAACCCAACAAAACGUUUAAUUCUAGAUUUUACUUCAAAAAUUAAGACUCUCAUUUAUUUGAACUGGGAACAGAAUUUAUACAAAGCCAUAAUCCCAAAAUCUAAUCUAGUAAGAAAUCAUAAAAUCGGUUUUCUUUCACAAACCUUAGAGGUGGCAUGGCCUAGGUCACCAAUAGGCUCAAUUUUUCGGUUUGCUUUAUUUUGAACCAAAAUCUGAAAUCUAGCUUCAUUGAAUGACGUACUUGAAAAUAUCGGCAGCUUCCUUGGGUGUGUUGAUUUGAUUUGCAUUCCACCCAAUGCAGUUAGUUCCGCACCGGUUCCGGCCAUAUUGGCUAGUGUACUAAGGAUGAGAAUUCAAAUUGUAUUUGGAUACCUAAAGAUAUUU
rnacentral:lncRNA from 1 species